GACGAACGCUGGCGGCGUGCCUAAUACAUACAAGUUGAGCGCUGAAGGUUGGUACUUGUACCAACUGGAUGAGCAGCGAACGGGUGAGUAACGCGUGGGGAACCUGCCUUUGAGCGGGGGACAACAUUUGGAAACGAAUGCUAAUACCGCAUAAAAACUUUAAACACAAGUUUUAAGUUUGAAAGAUGCAAUUGCAUCACUCAAAGAUGAUCCCGCGUUGUAUUAGCUAGUUGGUGAGGUAAAGGCUCACCAAGGCGAUGAUACAUAGCCGACCUGAGAGGGUGAUCGGCCACAUUGGGACUGAGACACGGCCCAAACUCCUACGGGAGGCAGCAGUAGGGAAUCUUCGGCAAUGGACGAAAGUCUGACCGAGCAACGCCGCGUGAGUGAAGAAGGUUUUCGGAUCGUAAAACUCUGUUGGUAGAGAAGAACGUUGGUGAGAGUGGAAAGCUCAUCAAGUGACGGUAACGACCCAGAAAGGGACGGCUAACUACGU
rnacentral:rRNA from 1 species